rnacentral:lncRNA from 1 species
UUCGAAUCAACUCGAAUUUUUUUUUCAAAUUUCGAGUUCGAAUCGAGUUGUGUUUUCGAAUUCGAAUAACUCCAAUAAUUUGAAUAAUUCGAAUAUCAAACUAUAAUAUUUUACAUUUUUACCCCAAACUCCUUAACCUUUUUACUUUUCCCUCAAAACUUUUACUCCUUCCCACUUUCCCCCUAAAACUUUUACUCCUCUCCCCUCCCCUCCCAACCCCCAAUCUACCCAAAAUCUAUUUCCCACCAAAAUUUUACUUUCCCAUUUACUUUUUCUCAAAAUUUUACUCCCCAAAACCCUCAAAACCUUUUAUUUUCCCCAAAAAUUUUACUCCCUCCCACUUUUCCCCUAAAACUUUUAUUCCCUUCCCAUCUCACCUCUCAUCUACCCCAAACCCUCCCCCUUCCAAUUUUUUUUAAUAUUUUCCCUCCAAAAUUUUACUCCCCCCUAUUUACUUUCCCUCAAACUUUUAUUCUCCAAAACUUUUUAUUUUCC